GCUAAACAUCUAGCUUAAAUAAACAAUUCAACACAACAACAUACAAAACCCUUAUAAACCAAAAACCAUUAAAAUAAAACAUUCUUCCGCCCUAGUACGAGUGACAGAAAAGGCCCCAUAAGCUAUAAUAAUAGUACCGCAAGGGAAAGAUGAAAAAGAAAAUGAAAUAAAUCAUUCAAGCACAAAAAAGCAGAGAUUAGCUCUCGUACCUUUUGCAUCAUGAUUUAGCCAGCCACUCUGAGCAAAGCGCACUUCAGUUCACAGCCCCGAAACUAGGUGAGCUACCCCGGGACAGCCUACUACAGGGCCAACUCAUCUCUGUGGCAAAAGAGUGAGAAGAUCCCCGGGUAGAGGUGAUAAACCUACCGAACCUAGUUAUAGCUGGUUGCCUAAGAAAUGAAUAAAAGUUCAGCCUCGCCAUCCCCGACUCACAAAAAGUACCACUAACUGAAGAACCCGAGAAAUGCGCGAGAGUUAGUCAGGGGGGGUACAGCCCCUCUGAAAAGGGAUACAACCCUGCACAGGAGGUUAAAGAUUAUACUAAACAAGAUUCUGCCCCAGUGGGCCUAAAAGCAGCCACCUAAGUAGAAAGCGUUAAAGCUCGAGCAAAUAAUAAUCCAUUAUUUUAAUAAUUUCAUCCUAAACCCCUAGCCAUAUUAGGCCUUUCUAUGCAAGCAUAGAAAGCGAUACUGCUAAAAUGAGUAAUAAGAAGAACCCUUCUCCUGGCCCAUGUGUAAACUAGAACGGACCUACCACUAGCUAUUAACGAGCCCACCCAAAGAGGGCAAUGUGACUACAAAAACAACCAAGAAAAAAUCACAAUAAAAAUAUCGUUGACCCCACACCGGAGUGCCCACAAGGAAAGACUAAAAGAAAAGGAAGGAACUCGGCAAACACAAGCCUCGCCUGUUUACCAAAAACAUCGCCUCCCGACAAAAUCAUAUGGGAGGUCUUACCUGCCCAGUGACUACAAGUUAAACGGCCGCGGUAUUUUGACCGUGCAAAGGUAGCGCAAUCACUUGUCUUUUAAAUGAAGACCCGUAUGAAUGGUGAAACGAGGGCUUAACUGUCUCCCCUUUCCAGUCAAUGAAAUUGAUCUGCCCGUGCAGAAGCGGGCCUAACACUACAAGACGAGAAGACCCUUUGGAGCUUAAGAUAAAGACCAACUAUGUUAAUAAUUAAAACGAGACAAACCAAAUAGCCCUGGUUCAUAUCUUCGGUUGGGGCGACCACGGGAGAAAACAGAGCUCCCAUGAAGACGGGGCUUCCCCUAAAGCCAAGAAAGACAUCUCUAAGACGCAGAACAUCUGACCAAUUGAUCCGGCCAACCUGCCGACCAACGAACCAAGUUACCCUAGGGAUAACAGCGCAAUCCCCUUUCAGAGUCCAUAUCGACAAGGGGGUUU
rnacentral:rRNA from 1 species